AAGUGAAGAUCAAUGUUCAUAGGCUGUGUGGACAAGGGUUGUCUUUGAUGAGGAAGGCAACACACAGGCUCCACCUGUGUAAAAUUAAUUAUUAUAGAAUAAGUAACUCCAAAAAAAAGACGGGCUUUAUACUGAUGAGAUAUGAAGACGAACGUAUAAAUUCCCAAAACAGGCUUUUAGCGGCACUUUUUUAGGCCUUUAGCGUGUUUACCAAAGUGCCGGAAAAAACGCUGCUAAAGACUGCGUCGCUAACUUUAGCGGCGUUUUUACCUUUAGCGGCGCUUUUCCGACAAACGUCGCUAAAGACCAGGACCUUUAGCGGCGUUUUUCCCACAAAACGCCGCUAAAGACUAGGACCUUUAGCGGCGCUUUUCCCACAAACGCCGCUAAAGACCAAGACCUUUAGCGGCGCUUUCUCCAAAAAUGCCGCUAAAGAAGAAGACCUUUAGCGGCGCUUUCCCCAAAAAUUGCCGAUAAAGAACAAGACCUUUAGCGACACUUUUUCUACAAACGCCGCUAUAACAUUAACUUUUAGCGACGCUUUUUUACAAACGCCACUAAAGGCAUAACUUUUUUUUAUAAAAAAUUAAGUAAAUAAUAUUUAUUUCUAUAAUAAAUAUUUUAUUUUAUUUUAUUUUUAAAAUUUAAACUUUAAACUAUAUAAUUUUAAGGAUAAAAAAUUUAAUUAAAUUAAAUUUUCUAUUAAAAUUUUAACUUUAAAGGUAAAUAUAAAAAUUAAUGAAUUUAAAUUUAGAAUUAAAAUAUUAUGCCUUGGGAAUUUAAAUUUUAAACAUUAGCUAGUUACUUGCUAUGUUGGCUGACACCGUGUAAGUGCCUUGGGAAUUUAUACGUUCAUCUUCCUGCUUUUGUUUCAUUUUCUUUUCUCCCUCUCCCUCUUCUUUGGUAACUUCGAAGAAGAGAUAAUUACUAGAACCUCUUCAUGGACGAAUGAUUAUGGAAUUUAAGUCGAAAAAUUAGUAAAUUUAGUAAGUUGGUAAGGUUCUCAGUCCUUCAGUGUUUGUAAAUUUAAGAAAAAAUAAUUUAGACUUUUCAGAACCUUUGAAGGGUUCUGCAUGUUUGUGGAAAAUUAAGUUUUAAAUUGAAAUUACUGAGUUUAACUCGAGAUUUUUGUUAUAAUGUUUAGCUGCUAGGAAAAUGGAAGUUCUGGAGUUUGGAAAAGCUAAGCUUGGGAGACAAGAGACAUCAGCAGGAAACCCCACUUCAAAUCAAAAUGAACUACAAGACUACUAUACAAAAUCGUCGAAACUAAAACUACCAAGCAAAAUAUGAAUAGAUAUGUGGAAAAUUACAAAUGGCUUUAUUCCAACACUUUACAACUUAAAGUAGAAAGGCCUGGUAAGAAACGAUCGAUGCCCGAUGUGCAAGGAGAGGGAGGAAUCAGUGGAACAUAUAUUUCGGGAUUGUACCGUCACAGCAAAGAUCGUGCAAUAAUUGGGUGUGGCAGACUCAACCACCAAUAGAAACCAGGGUUAGAAAAAAUGGUUAGCAAUUUUCUUUCUAAACAACAAUCAUACACAAUUCAAACUGUUAGCCAUGACAUAUUGGUCCUUUUGGUUUAACAGAAAUAAAAUGUACCAAGAACACAUUAAACCCAAUAAAACAGAGUUGAUAUCA